CGCACAUAGGUGUUUAUAUAAUAUUAUGCUAAAAGUAGUCAAAACGGUAUUCGUUUCUGCGAUACCGACGCUACGCACUCCUUUACAUUAAUGAUGGAUUCCUUGAGAAGUUGAAAACGUUGCAGUAGCAUUGCAUAAAAUUGAACAAAAAAAAAAACCUUCGUUUAGGUGAUUUUAAAAAGAGAGGUCUUGUAUAUAUUUCAUGAUAUUGCAUCGUAAAAGAUUUAACUAUUUGAGCCAAGCGCGUCCCUAAAAAUGGAGUGCGAGGGGGGAGUUCUCCCCCGCUAUAAGCCUUGUGAUGUUCUAUUUUGU